rnacentral:rRNA from 1 species
UACGAAGGGGGCUAGCGUUGUUCGGAAUCACUGGGCGUAAAGCGCUCGUAGAGCGGAUCUUUUAAGUCAGGGGUGAAAUCCCGAGGCUCAACCUCGGAACUGCCUUUGAUACUGGGGAUCUCGAGUCCGGGAGAGGUGAGUGGAACUGCGAGUGUAGAGGUGAAAAUUCGUAGAUAUUCGCAAGAACACCAGUGGCGAAAGGCGGCUCACUGGCCCGAUACUGACGCUGAGGCACGAAAAGCGUGGGGGAGCAAAC